GCAAUACUUUGGUGGCGACCGGCGCACGGGUGCGUAACGCGUAUGUAACCUACCUAUAACAGGGGCAUAACACUGAGAAAUUGGUACUAAUUCCCCAUAAUAUUCGGAGAGGCAUCUCUCCGGGUUGAAAACUCCGGUGGUUAUAGAUGGACAUGCGUUGUAUUAGCUAGUUGGUGAGGUAACGGCUCACCAAGGCAACGAUACAUAGGGGGACUGAGAGGUUAACCCCCCACACUGGUACUGAGACACGGACCAGACUCCUACGGGAGGCAGCAGUGAGGAAUAUUGGUCAAUGGACGCAAGUCUGAACCAGCCAUGCCGCGUGCAGGAAGACGGCUCUAUGAGUUGUAAACUGCUUUUGUACGAGGGUAAACUCACCUACGUGUAGGUGACUGAAAGUAUCGUACGAAUAAGGAUCGGCUAACUCCGUGCCAGCAGCCGCGGUAAUACGGAGGAUUCAAGCGUUAUCCGGAUUUAUUGGGUUUAAAGGGUGCGUAGGCGGUUUGAUAAGUUAGAGGUGAGAUCCCGGGGCCUAACUCCGGAACUGCCUCUAAUACUGUUAGACUAGAGAGUAGUUGCGGUAGGCGGAAUGUAUGGUGUAGCGGUGAAAUGCUUAGAGAUCAUACAGAACACCGAUUGCGAAGGCAGCUUACCAAACUAUAUCUGACGU
rnacentral:rRNA from 1 species